AGAAUUGCGCAUGCGCGCCUGUCUCCCGGGACGCUAGAGCAGGCGAUUCCCGGGCUGCUCCGAGACGGAACCUCACUAUGUUGCCCAGGCUGGUCUCGAACUCCUUGUCUCAAGGGAUCCUCCCACCUUGGCCUCCCAAAGCUCUGGGAUUAUCAGCAUGAGCCACCAUGCCAAGCCAAAACCAGGAGUUCAAUGGUGUAAAUUCCAGUCCGAGUCCACAGGCCGAAGAGCGAGGAGUGCUGAUGUACAAGGGCAGGAGAAGAUGGAUGUCACAGCUCAAGAAGCGAGAACAAAUUUGCCCUUCUAUCUUUUUGUUCUAUUCAGCCCAGGAUCCCUGGGACAGGAAGCAGCAGCAGUUAAACAGUCACACAUCAGUGCUCCAGCAAGUGAACUGAGGUGCAUCCAACUAAGGAGCAGAUCCAGGACCAGAGGAAAUAAAAUUAUCUGGGAGCAGGGCCAGGAAGGUGCUGGUCUGCAUGGUCGAUGAAUUUUCAACGAGCAGUGAUUCUGUUCCUCAUCUUUCAUUGCUUUAUGGGACUUCAGGGAAUGAAAGCAUAACAUCCUGCUUUCCCAUAAGUUCUCUGGCUGCUACACUGGCACCAAUUAAAGACAUGUCUAUGCAAUUAAUCAAAACCAAUUUGGAAGCACUCUGGCGCUGCUCCUCUGAUGUACUGCCUGCUCCACAUACAGUAGUUCCUCAGCUGCGGUGAUGGAGCCAGGCACAUAGGAGCUUUUGAUGAACUGGCUGUACUGGCCCCAAGUGUUAACUAUGUCAUCUGACAUGACUAAUGAGGCUCCGGACUUGAUCCGCGUGAGCGGAGCAGCCCUGCUGUCUGGAGGAGGCUCAGUUUCCACAGCCAGCCUGGGAAGAGGCUGCAACGUGCAGGGUACACACUGCAUCAUGUCAGCUGGAGUCCUGGAGGCCUCUAGCGUUGGAGCUGGGAGUCAUCCAUGGAGAGAGUGAUGGAAACUGUGGGCCAGGCUCUGUGUUGGGCGCCAGUGUGAAUGUGACCCAAUUUAAACUUCUAGCUCAGCCUCCUCAUUUUAGACCUGAAAAUCAAGACCCAGCAAAAGUGUGAGGCUUGCCAAAGACCUGAACUUUGGAGAGAGAAAUGAUGGAGAAAGCAUGGUCUCUGUCCUAGAUGAGAGGUGAAUAUGUAUGAGGGUAACAACUGGGGCCUGGUGCAAGUAUACUUCAUCAAGGGUUAACCAUAGGCUUCCUUUCUUCCUUCUGCAAACCUUUAUCAAGGGGAAGGGUUGCUUGUGCCCUUGUCACCUCAGCAAUUCCAAGAGCAUGGAAUUUGGAGUCAACAGAUCUGUGUUUGAGUCCCAGCCCUACUUUGAGUUGAUGUAAUCUUGCAAAUCACUUCGUUUUUCUGAGCCUUGGUUUCCUCAGCUGUAACAUUGGAAUAGGCCAUAUACUGCCCAGCCAGCCUACUUCCAUGAGCCCUUCUGUGACUCAACUGAGUUAAUGGGUGUGAAAGUGUAAGUAAGAGCCUCUGCACGUGUUAGUUAUUAUUCCAAUUUUCAUCCCCCUAAGGAGCACUGGCUGAAAUCUCUGGAAUAUGGAUCCACAGAUAGCUUUAACUCUCUUCCUCUUCCUGCCUCUUUCAAAUGGACAUAAAAACCAAUUGGUCAUCUGCCUAAAAUCUCAACAGCUUUCCCAGAGAGCCCAUGCAUAGAAAGAGGAAGAGCUCAACCGUUGUAAAUUAAUGUCAUUCCAUACAUUGAUUGAGCACUUACCACAUGCCAGACAUUGUGUGAGGGAUCGGAGUUGGAUAAGACAUGUUUCUUGGCCACCUUGAGAAGCUCACUAUUUAGUAGGAGAAACAGAGCUGGGCAUAAAUAACUAUAAUGUACUGCAGAUAAAUGCAAUUGCCAUAGGAAAGAUACAAAUCAAAUGUUUUGGGAGCCAGAGGAUGGAGUGAUUCAUUCCCCAAAAGGAGACUGGAAAAAGGUUCAUCAAUGAAGUGGUACUGAAGGAUGGGCAGGGCUUAGCUCUGUCAGGAAGAACGAGGCAGGGCGUUCCAGACAGAGAGACCAGCAUAGGCAAAUGUAUGAAAUCUGGAAAGGAAUGGUGAUCUAAAGGAUAGAAUAAAAUCAAGUAAGGUAUUGGGAGUGAGCAUGAAUCAAAGAAAAAUCACUGCACCCCAACUCUGAAACUCAGGCAUAAAUGUUGCUGUUUCACUGUUCUCUUUGCUGGCUGAGGUCACCUUGGCCUCUGUCCCUCAGUCAGAGAAAAUCCCACACUGGCCCUUCCUCCAGCAAAGCCAAACCCAAGCCCCAGCCAGCAGAAGCAAAAACAAAUGAACAGGGAUCAACAAUACCAUUAGAUGCAAAAAUUCUUGAGCUGGGAAGGCCAGGUCACAGCCAUACCUCCCCAGCCAGGGUAAGAGCUUGAUCACAUGUGGCAAUGACACCAACCCUGUAGCGCGAUGGCAAGGAACUUAACUUAAGCCUCUUGGCAUGGGUCACAGGCUACAUUUUUCUCCUUCCCCCCUUCAUCCAAAAGAAGCUAGCUUCUUCUUUAUGAGUGCUGCUGUCAGAAUGGCUUUGGAAAGCCUAGAGCUGCAGCUGGACUCAAGGCAUGGCCAUGGGCCACCCCAGGGACUUGUAUUUUCUCAGUCUUUCUAUCUUUCAUUGUGAAUUUUUUUUAUUGUGCAAAUAAUACAGUGUUAAGAACGGAAACUUCAAGAAGAGAAAGAGGAAAGAGAGCAUCCACUCACAUGUCAUCUGUUUCCAUUUCUCCUUGCCCUUUCCUGCUGUUGUCCAUGAGCAUAAUUUUUUGGCCGCUUUUAUUACUGAUACAACUACGUAUUCUGUUUUUAUUGCUUAGCCUUGUAUCAUACAAGGCUACUUAUUGCCAGCCUCUCGUGUCCACACUGGCUUGGCAUUGUUCUCCCAAGACUGAAGAAAUAUGCCAGGGGUCAUGUAAAGGGACUUUCCGCAGAUAACAUGAUCGCCAUUGACAACUGGCAUCAUGUGGCAGAGGAAACGCAUCGACUGCUCUGCCCUCAUGUUGACUUGGGUUGGAAUCUCAGCUCCUCUACUUCGAAGCUAGAUGGCCCUGGGCAGAUCAUUCCAUCUCUUUGAGCCACAGGUCCUCAUCUAUAAGAUGGGGAUGGCAUUAGUACCAUCUUAUGAUACUAAUGGGAUCACAGUGAGAAUUAAGUGAGAUACCAAAAGGGGAAUGCUCAAUAAAGAGCAGCUCUCCUUCCCAACCCUUGAGGGGCUGACCUAGAAACCACUCUGCUUUUUCCUCUCUUGCCCACAUUUGGCCACCUCCCCUCCCCUGGACCCAGCAGGCCCCCUGGGUGAGCCCACCUAAAUUAUGACAGGCAUACCAGUCUGCAUAUUUAUUAUUCACUGGGUGAAUUUGCUAUCUUUUACUUAAGUAUUUUCCUCUGAGGAAACUUUUGUUUUUGUCCAAUUUUUCACUAUUUCCAAUAAUGAUGCAAAAAAAAAAAAAAAAUACCAGUGUGUGCUGCUCACCCUAUGCUUUAAAAAUUGUAUUUUCUCAGAAACAAUCCCCAGGAGUAGGAUCACUGAGAUAGAGGAUAGAAACAUUUUCAAGGUUUCUGAUGUGUAUUUCCAAAUUGCUUUUCGGAUUUGCACCUGUUAUGCUGCCACCAAUUUGAGGGAGGGAACCACUUGGGCUACAUUGGAGGCCGCUGGGCCCUGGUCACAAACUUCUGUCUCUGCUUUAUUUCUACCAUUGUCUUCUCUUAACAUGGCUCCUGAACUUCUCACUCUAUGGGACAAUUCAUUGUUUGUCCCCAAAAUGAUGCUCCCAUACUUUUGUGCCUUUGUACUUCCUAUUAGUCUUCACCACCCUUGCCCGAGAAUAUUCUUCCUUUAAGAUACCCUCUCACCUUAGAGCUCAACCUUUGUGGAACUGGGAACUUCUAUACUCUCUUCAAGACCCAGUUCAAACACCCCUCUCUCUGUGAACCAGUUCCAAUCCCCCCAAGCAGAGUUCGUCACUUUUGUUAUAAGUGGUACCUGGAGGAACCCUUGGCAUCCAAGUGUUCACCAAGAGUCAGCCAUCCCCUAACCUCAGCUACAGGCCCCAGCUUUUGUGAUUCUCUCUUCUCUUCUCCUCUCUCACUCUUUGCACCAGGCAAUCUCACCAGGUUUUCCCAACUCAUGUCCUAAAUAUUCUUAGAUCCACUUAUCUUUGCCUCAUGGUCAUUGCCAGAGCUAUCACCUCUCAUCAGGAUUCCUGCAAUGGUCCCCAC
rnacentral:sRNA from 1 species